AAAGUGACUAAUCUCGUUGGUUGAGGCAAUAUUGGUCAAAUUAACUGUGACAUUGGUAACUAUUAAACAAACAAAUUGGUUAUCUAACAACUAAUAUCAUUGGUUAAGAACAAAUUGGUUGAUUUAACAAAGAUAUUGGUUAACUUUAAUAACAGAUUGGUUGAAAAAUGACUAAUAUCAUUGGUUAAGCAAAUGUUAACUAAGAGAUUGGUAACUGACGCAGGUCUGACGCUCAACGUCAAGUACGUAACUCUGCUUCUCAAUUUUCUGACAAAGCCGCCAUCUUGGUGCUGCAGGAAAGCCGUUUGAGAUAUUGGUGGAAUUCAAACACUUUGUGAGAUGACAGAAUAUUGCUGAAGGAUCCUACAUAAGGCUGGCUGAUUACACGGAGUGAUUCCUCUGGUGUGGUGUACCUCAGAGAAAUAAACACUGUUGCAAGAGCUGAGAAGAUGGCCAAGAUAUCCUUAUUGCUGGAUGGUAGCUCUGGUCGUAGUGGACCAUAUCUGCAAAUGCUUCUGAACAUUGACAGAAUUUCUAAAGAUGACUGAGAAUAUUACUGAAGGAUCCUACAUGGAAGCUGUCUGAUUACACUGAGUGAUUCCUCUGGUGUGGUGUACCUCAGAGAAAAUAAACACUGUUGCAAGAGGUGAGAAGAUAUCCUUAUUGCUGGAUGGUUGCUCUCUGGUCGUACUUGAGCCCCCUGGACCAUGUCUGCAAAUGCUUCUGAACAUUGACAGAAUUUCUAAAGGAUCGCUGAGGACUCCCCCUCCAUGCGUGACAUCUUUGAGAAAUUUCCACGCUUUCUGGAGAUGCCAAGUUUGACUGGAACCAACUUUGCAUCCCUCGGCACUGACACUGAGAAGGUUUCAAGGACCCCACUACUAGGAGGCGAGAGUUUGACACGGCAUUGUCAUCACUGCCAUGGAUGACAACGUAACCAUUCCUGUUGCUGAUUGCCUGACUUGCGCAGUGACAAGCUUUUCAUGCUCUACUGGGUGUGUAACUUGGCAUAUCCACCACAGUUUAACUCUGUUUUUGCCUCUUUUGAAUAUGUGUACGAUAUAACCAUCUCAACCAACACGUGGGCCAAGGUACUGGAACAUUUCUCACUUCAAGUUGCUCUGUAGUCACUGGACAU